UUUCUAAUAAAAUUACCCAUGACUUCUGAAACUUAAGAACGUCAGUAGACGUAUUAAACUGAAAAGUUAACAAAACUGUGUCCAUAUUUACAUGGAGAUGUUCGUUUUUCAUCCCCACAUUUGUGUGCUAUCUCCUGGAGUACAUUGAACUUGUCAUUGAGUCAUUUAGCGUUUUGUGGGAACACGAACCAGACAAGACGACGACAAAGAUGAUGGCUGACAAGGAAUAAAAUAAAAGUAUAUAAUAAUGUUUAUGUUAAGUAUUCAUUAAUUUACGACGUAGUUCUUGGGAAUGAUGUGGGUCGGGUUAAAGUAGAGCGUGUUACUGGUUGACAAGGACAAAGAAAUCUCUGUAAGAUCGAGGGAGAAUCUCUAUAAGGAGCGUCCGUGACAGCGACAUGGCUAGCAGAGGCAACGUGACUCAUUAUAAUCGGAUGAUGGAGAAGACAAAAAAAUUUUUUAAGUACAUGUUCUAAUAUUAGCAUGUGGACAAUUUAAAGUCAAUUGUGUCGCAUGCAUGUACUUUGGCCACGCGUAUCUAUACAUAGAUUACUCCCAUACGUGAGUGAUACCAGAAAUGUGGAGAAGAGAACUAAAAAAGACGGCUCACCUCUUAAAAAUAUAAGUUCCUUGUUUGUUAUUAUUAUUUUAUAUUUUUUUCAAUACUUCGUAUUACGUCAAAUGAGCAUUCGGAAAAGCUACUGAGCUUAAAAAACCGUCUGGUCCAAUAAAUGAUUGUCUUGUCUUGCUGUAUGUUUUUCUAAAAAUACUAUUUUAGUGUCUUGUUUAGAUAAUUUUGUUUUAGUUCAAGUUUUCCCAUUUCUUUUUAAACAUUAAUGAUAAUGAUUGAAUCAUUUUACACGAUUGCUAACACUCGCCGCAACACCAACUGUACUAUCGGAUCGCGCACGCUCCAAAACGAUCGCUUGACAUCAUCAUACUCUUACACACAACCUCCACAACGACAACGACGACCACGGCGAUCACCAACUAUGGUAGUAACUGGAAGUGGAAAAGAGUGAGACAAUAUGAUAAAUAAUAAAAGAGUAACGAGUUAAUACUCUCUUUAAAGAUAUGUAUAUGUAUUACAGAGUGGCGCUAUCUUGAGGAUACCUCACAACUUUUUUUUAUGAUAAGCUAUCGAUGCAUUUGUUUUGUUACUCAACAGUCUGAGUCAACCAACAGUCAGAACAGAUAUUUCACGUGUGUGUGAAAUCAAAAAUUAAGAUGAUACUGAAGAUAGUAGAGGUCUUAUAAUUUUUGAAUUUUUUUAAAAACUUUUUUAAUUUUCUACAUGUGCGUAUUUUUUUUUUUUUUUUUUUUUUUUUGUAAUUAAUUUAUAGAAAAAAAAUGCAAACUUUUAAUUGUCUGCUAACCAGAAUCAUAAAUUAAGCGCCAAUUUUUCAAACGGAGUUUAUUUUUAUCCGGGUUUAAAUUGAUAUAUCUAGUAUAUUUAUAUAUUAAUAAUAUAUAUAAUAAAUAUAUCAGCAAUAAUUAUUUAUACCCGGGUAAAAAAAUAAACCCGAGAAAAAUUGACUGAUGAGAACUCUCUGGAUGAUCAAUUUUUAAACUUGAAAUUGUAAUGAAACAUUUGACAUCUCGAUGACGUUUAGUAUACGUGAAAAAUUUUUUGCUCUCCCCACGUAAAAUUACAUAUAAACUUGAUGUAAAAUAACAGCUUUAAUUUUACCUCAAAUUCCUGUUAUUUUACGUGGGGAGAGCGAAAAGUUUGAAUGGAAUUUUUGACGUUUACUAGACGUCAUCGAGAUGUCAAAAGUUUUAUUUCAAUUUCUGAGCUGAAACUCUGGUAUCCUGAUACUUUUAAUUAAUAAUUUAAAAAACAAAAAAUUAUUUGAAAAAUUAAAAAAUUCAAAUUUAAAAAUAAGAAUUUUUGAAAUUGUUUAGAAUUACAUUUUAAAAAAAUGUAAUUAUAAUUUAAUUACUCAUUACCAUAAUCGGAUUAAUCAGUGAUAAAGUGGCGCUAUCUCUUGCAUAACUUCGCGACUUACUUAAGCUGAUAUACAUAAAUAAAAAAAGUAAAAAGUAAAAUUAAAUGGAGACUGAAGCCAGCGGUGGUGGGAACGAGUGAUAAAAAGUCACGUGUUAUGUAUCCGAAUUCAUGUUCAAGGGCAUCAACCUCGAGUUAUUUUAUUGUUGGGCAAAAGACACCACUUACACGCAUAACACAUGCAAUAUAUAUCAAUAUACAUAUAUAUCUGAGAGAUGAGCACGAGACGGUUACAGACAAGUUGUGAGCAUCUGAUGAAAGUGAAAAAGGAAAUGCAUGAAAAAUAAAAUAAAAAUAAAUAUGGAGAUAAAAGAGAGAAAAAUGUAUUUUUACAUUUGUGAUUUGUCUAACUGAUGCCGUACAGAGGAUUUAUUUAUAGAAAGACAUACAAGCAGACCCCUAAUGACUGUCAGAUGCCAAAUCAACGACAUAAAGAAACUCUUUAUAGUCUGGAUGCAUAAAAAAAAUAAACAAUUAAAUAAUAGAUGGAAAUUUUUCAAAAAUAAAUUAAGUGUCACAAAUUACAACCUGGAGAUUUGAUCGCGAAACCUAGAAGUUGAUAAAAAUGAUGAAUUAAAUAAAUAAUAUUUUUUUUUUUUCACAAAUAUUACCAUGGGUGAUUUUGAAGGUGGAGAAUUAUUCAAAGUCGCUGUAAUUUCACGUAAAAUAACUCUUGUUCCUUCACGAAUUCCUUUAGGACUUGCUUGUAUUUUAGUAGGACUUGACAUUUUCAAGUUAAAUAAAUUAUGUAUACAAAAUAUUGCAUUAAAACCAGAGUAUAUGGAGUCAGUACGCCGAAAAUUUUUUUUUUACACACUAA